CAUGGGUGUGGAUCCAUCAUGAAUAAAUUAAUGCCUUUGCUGUUGGUGGGGGCAGGGAGCAUGGUACAGGGGUGACUGAGUUCCUGCUUUGUUAGUUCCCACUGAAACUGAUUGACAAAAAGGGCCUGGCACCUCUCUCUUCUCUCUCUUUCUCUCUCUCACCAUGUGAUCUAUGCAUGCCUGUUCCCGUCUGCUUGCACUAAGAAUGGAAACAGCCUAAGUUCCUCACCAGAAGCAGAGGCUGGCACCAUGUUUGUUAUGCAGCCUGCAGAACCAGAAAUCAUGGGAAAAACUGCCCAUUUCUGUUUUGUCCACUUUGCUUUGGGAAGUGAGAGCUAUAGUCAUUAUCACCACAUCCCCUGGCAUCCAAUUCCGAUUAAUAAUUCAAUUCCAGCUUUCCUGGAAGCCAGAAGUCAAAAUAUACUUGGGAUUUCUAUAAAUAUUUUUUAAUUAUGACCAUCGAACUCCAAGUACUUCAGAUUUGGAACUCGGACUGCUUUCCUUGCUCCUCAGCCUGCAGAUGGCCUAUUGUGGGACCUUGUGAUUAUGUAGUGAGACGAGCAUGAGUGGAGCAGGAGACGGCUGUCCCCCACCCACAAGGAAUAUCAGAUGAUGGUUCAGCGAUCAUCACAUUGCCUCUCUGAAAGUGAUAAAUUGGCAGCUGGCACCAGGGAGAGGCUAUUUCCUGAUGGCCCACACCUGUUGCACUAAGAUGUUAAUCGAAUGCAGAUUCCAGGGAGAAACAACUUCCUGGGCAUGUGCGUAAGAGACAAAAUGGCAGGUAUGACCUUCUGGGGACACUCCACCAGAAAAGGGAAGAAAACCUCAGAUGGGCAUGCAUAUAACUUCCUAAACACACUGCUCACACUCUCCUCCCAAGGGUAAGGAGGGCACUGCACAUGCAGGCAGCCCAUCCUAAGGGAAGCAUCCUGGGAAAGGGGUCAGUCUAUAUGGUUCUGGGAUCAAGAUUAAACACCACAUUAGACCUUCAAGUUGCCCACUUGGGUCUCUUCUAUGUGUAUUUUUCUUUCCUUUCUUUUCUGCUCUAAAGCUUUUUUAAAUAAACAUACACAUCCCUCCUCUGAAACUUGCCUUGGUCUCUUUUUCUGCCAUAUGCAACUCAGUCAAAUUAUUUCUUCUGAGGAGGAAAAAAUUGAGGUAGCUGCAUUCCCAUACAGAUUCACCAUCGGUAACUCAGAUACCUUCUACUGGCCAUAUGUUUGGUGUUCUAUUCAAGAAAUAAUUGCUAAAGCCAAUGUCUUAAAGUGUUUUUCUUAUGUUUUUCUUCUAAGAGUUUUACAGUUUCAGGUCUUACACUUAAGUAUUUAAUUAAUUUGAGUUGAUUUUAUGCAUGGUGUAGGAUGUGUGUAAUAUUCAGUUUUUCUAACACUAUUUGUUGAAGAGACUAUUCUUUUUCCACUGUGUAUCCUUAGAAGCAUUGCUGAAGUGUUGUUG
rnacentral:lncRNA from 1 species